GGGCAGUGCACGCUGUGUUUGUGCACAUGUGCGUGAGUGUACGAGCGGCACAUCUUCUUCCAGGUCAUGCAAAACUAGAAGAGAAAAAAGAAGAGAAAGCAAGCAAGAAUAUUAUGAGGCUUGUACAGGAGUGUCUGCCCCCCGCUGGCUCACGGACACCCUGCACAAAACAAGCAGCAUUCUUCACAUUCCCUUUCCAUCCCCUCUGUACAUUGGGACCCAUGUCAAAAGGUCAUCACCCUUGUGGCCUUGUGUGCUCCAGCUGUCGCCUACGUCAGGAGCUCCUGAAUCGUUUCAGCCCUAAAAUAGUCUGCAAACUUUAAUUUUAGGAACAACUUGGAAUAACCCUGGCUCCCAUUCACAGCAUUGUUCCUAUGCUAGAACAGUUCACAAGGCAAGGUAAGGUAAAGCAAGUUUAUUUAUGUAUUUCAUACACAAUGACGAUUCAAAAGGGAAAUUGGUAUCUAAUCUAUAUUUCAGAUGCAUUUACUUAUGUCAAUAAGCAGGUGAUCAUUAUUGUAAAAAAAUAACCCCCUUCUGUGUGAUGCAAAAUCUGUUUAAAGUAAUAUGUGUAUAGUUUUUCAUAUGUGAUUUUAGUAUUACAAAGUUUUUUUGAUGCUAGACAAAUUUUUUCGGCAUUAUUUAUAAAGGAUAUUAUAUUAACAAGUUUCCUUUAACUGGGUGAUUGCUCUUAAAGUAUUCUGCUGCUACACCAAUUAAAUCAGAUGAGUCAAAAAUACUAAAAGACAGCAAUGGACUCAAAUCUAGCAGGCAAAAAGAAAGAAAGAAAGAGAGAGCGAGUGAAUUAAGUUUCACACUGUAAACCUCCCGCCUACCCACAGCACUAACCAAUGAGAAGCCGCGCAUUUUAGGCGCUGCUCUCUGAUUGGCCGCUCGCCGCAUGAUUGACAGUCCGUGUGAAUGAAGUUUUUUCCCACUUUGGCUCCGUGAAGUUUCAGUGACGGGGGCAUCACUGCAGCGCACUGAAGGAAAGGAAAGAACAGAAGGGAAAAGAAGGGAGAGAGGUGCGCCAUCCAUCCAUCUAUCCAUCCACUGAAUGUUCCCGCAGGACUUUAUUUACGUACGGCUGCAUGAGAGGCUUUGAGCUCUCGCGCUUUCUCUCUCCGGGACUGUUGGGUUACUGGUUCUGUCCUGAUAUCAAGCAGUUGUCAUAAUAAUAUAACCGAACUCUUCGCGUCAGGACGGACGCAGGUGGUCAUGGGUACACCUAUCAGAUGGAAAGUAAAGCGGAGGUUUAAGGAGGUGCGGCUCUCGGUAUUCCUAGUAUUCCUGAUGUUUGUCACCUCACGAGUCAGCGCAGGUAAGCGGAGAAUCAGCUGUUCCCAAACUGUUACUUUGUGCCGCGGGCCGCGCUCUCCCGGGGCUGCGCUUCUCCUGCGCGAGUGCAUUUCACGGUCAGUCCGCUGUCCCAGGACUGGAAUGACUGUAGGAGGUGAUGGUAGCCGCCCUAG